rnacentral:lncRNA from 10 species
CCCUCUGCCUGACAUCCUCUUCUCGCUCCUUUCCUACUUGUCCUUGGCUUCACCAGCUCUUUGCCAUCCAGGCUGUAGAAGUCUCCUCCUCCAGGAUGCCGGCUUGCUUUCUCAGCUAGGGGUCUCAUCCCAUUAACAGGUCAAUGCUAAAAGUGUCUGCAGAACCCAUGAUGUGAAUUUACUGAAGAGAAAGACUCUCCACCAGGUGGGCUUUCAGCCAGGCAGGCUGUCCUCAGAACCUCUUCCUUCCUUCACAAUUACAAGCAUUCUCAUCCCCACCCCGGCUGGGGCAGCGGAGCUUCUGCCUUGGAGGGAUUCAACUGACCAUUGGUCAACUGAUCACCAACUAUUCCAGCUUUGGACCUGCACCUGGUAACAAACAAACGAACAGAACAAAACAAAACUGGAGUAAAAUAGACCCUCCCCCCAUGGCCA